rnacentral:lncRNA from 1 species
AUGCUGCCAAGGUGCGCAAACACUUUGGCAGAAGGAUCCUGUAUUGGUAACUGGCUUACAUUUUCUUCUGUGAGUGGCUCAAUUAGGGCCUUGGCCAAAGUCUCAGCCCUUACCCUUUUGGCUGCGGCAUCCAUCUUUAUUCUAAGCUACGGGCCUGUUCUAUUUGCAGUCGUUGCUCGUUGCUCUUCUUCUUUAAAGGGAAGGGUGAGAUCAGCUGCCUUAGCAUCAGCCUCCGCCCCCGCUACCUUGCUCUUUAGCUCCAGACGUGCAGCCUCCUUAAUGUGCAAGGCAGCUAGGGAAGAGAUGGCACUCCCAGCAGCAGAAGACUUGCUAGAGUGGCUAUGUUUAGAUGAUGCACACUCCCUUAGUUUAGAUACCUGGCUAGAGCGGUUGGACUUAAGACUAAGUGCCACAGCAGGUGAUUUUAAAAGAUUGGUCUCAUGGCUGCAUAAGGAAGACUGAUUUCCUUUUGGCUCAGACCUUAGAUUAACAGGUGGAGAACUAAAUUCCAAGGCAUCUAGAAUUGCCCUCACCUUAUUUUCUUUCUCAUUAGUGUCAGCUAAGACACUCACUAUUUCUAACUCUGAAUCCUUGGCGUUAAUGCGCUCGAGGACCUGGACUAUCUUAGACACCAAACCCCUCCAGAGACCGAAGGUCUCUUCAAGGUCUGUCUGUAAUAUGGAUGGCACCCUUGUAAUACCCAAGCUCUCAAUUCUGUCCAUCAAUGUUACAAUUCGCUCCCAUGCCGAACCUAACCUCACAUGGAGGAGCUCCUUUUCAUCUAUUAGAUGGGCUAGCAUCUUGGCUGAAGGGUGCUUUAUCCUUUGGGGCCUUUCAUUCCUACUUUCAGCCUCAGAAGGAGGUAUACCAUCUGUAUCGUCUUGAAAUUGCAUAGACAUUAUGUAUUCUUAAUAGCAAGUAAAUUUACAACAAAAGCAAAUACAACAUAUAACACAAUGCACAACACUUAACCAUAGCAAUAUAUAUCACUAAGUAACUAUACUUUACAAAGAUUGUGACCUUUGGCGCCAAACUUUGGUAGGCAAGCUGCAAAAUGCCAACUGACAGCAACUUGCCACUUGAUACCUCCCUUGCCCGAGUGACGUAAACUGCCAAAAUGGCGACUUCGCCAAAUUUUCAAGCACCUCGUGCUCUGCGGCUCGAGGCCUGCCGCCGAAGGAGCACCGAGGCUGGCUUUGGAAAGGAGGAGAGAAGAGACGCCUCCUCCCCGCUGUGAAGGGAGGUCACCACCGCAGGUCGAUGAAGCAGGUCACCACCGCAGGACGAUGAGGCAGGUCACCACCGCAGGACGAUGAGGCAGGUCACCACCGCAGGACGAUGAGGAGGUCACCACCGCAGGACGAUGAGGCAGGUCACCACCGCAGGACGAUGAGGCAGGUCACCACCGCAGGACGAUGAGGCAGGUCACCACCGCAGGACGAUGAGGCAGGUCACCACCGCAGGAUGAUGAGGCAGGUCACCACCGCCAGGCGAUGAGGCAGGUCACCACCGCAG